CUAACGGAGAGUUUGAUCCUGGCUCAGGACGAACGCUGGCGGCGUGCUUAACACAUGCAAGUCGAACGAACUCGACCUUCGGGUCAUAUGAGUGAGUGGCGAACGGGUGAGUAACACGUGAGAAACCUGCCCCAAAGUUUGGAAUAACCCGAAGAAAUUCGAGCUAAUACCAAAUGCCCUCUUCGGAUCGAGUGGUCUGAUGAGGAAAGAUUUAUCGCUUUGGGAGGGUCUCGCGGCCUAUCAGCUAGUUGGUGAGGUAACGGCUCACCAAGGCAUCGACGGGUAGCUGGUCUGAGAGGACGAUCAGCCACACUGGGACUGAGACACGGCCCAGACUCCUACGGGAGGCAGCAGUGGGGAAUCUUGCACAAUGGGCGAAAGCCUGAUGCAGCGACGCCGCGUGGGGGAUGAAGGCCUUAGGGUCGUAAACCCCUUUCAGUAGGGACGAAAUUGACGGUACCUACAGAAGAAGCUCCGGCCAACUACGUGCCAGCAGCCGCGGUAAGACGUAGGGGGCGAGCGUUGUCCGGAAUCAUUGGGCGUAAAGAGCUCGUAGGCGGUUCCGUAAGUCGGAUGUGAAAACUCAGGGCUCAACUCUGAGACGCCAUCCGAUACUGCA
rnacentral:rRNA from 1 species